UGAGUUAGUUGGAGAGAAGAUGGUUGCUUGCCUUAUCGUAGCUGAGGAGCUCUACAGUUUGUCCCUUAAAGACAAAGGCAGGAUUUGUUGGAGGGAGUUUAAGAUCACUUACCUGGUCUUAUGGACUGGAUCAAGCAGAAGGUCACUGGUAGUGAUACUGCAGUUUGAUGUGAUGUUCUAAUUGAAUUUGAGGCAGGUUAAGAAGAUUCAGUCCUAUCUGAUCAACUUCCAUGACUGAACAGCAGCAUAAAUAAGUUUGGCCACUGGGAAUACAGUACAGGGGUGGGACAACAAUCCCAUAAUUGAAGACCUACUUCUAGCACCAGCAUUGCGAAUUAAAUCCAUCAGAGGACUCUCAAAACCCAGGACAACUUGCCACCUCAGAGCAACUUAUGUGUUGAAGAGUGUAGAUGGAAGCAACAAUGCUCUCUAGUAUUUGAAAGUCAACCAGUGACUGCUCAUAGGCCUUGGAAGGGACCCCUCUGGAAGUUGUCCGGUCCAACCCUAUGCUCAGAGCAGGGCUAAGGGACAGCUCGUUGCUCGGAGGGGCUGCCAGGACCUAGAGUGGCCCAGGGGUGCACGAGCAGACUCGCCUGUGCACCUUCUUUCAAGAUCUUUGUGGUAAAAUAAGCUUUUAACAAGAACUGUAACAAUAUAUUUUUUUUUUUUCACCUCCAAACUGCUGAAGGAGCAGUUGGAGGAAAGUAAAGAAAUAAUUGCACCUGGUUUCAUCUCAAAAGUCGCAUUUUUGCAAAGCUGCCCCGGUCAGAAGUGUAGCCUUUUUAUGUGAUGAGACAGCAAAUGCCUCUCCUG